GGCUCGGUGGCGUAGUUGAUUAGAGCACACAUGAUUAAAAAUCGUAGGUGCGGGUUCAAAUCCCGUUCGGUUUA